UCUAGUGUACUUGAAAUUAUAUUGGAUUGUUAUCAUUGUACAUCAACUAUUAUAUCAUAUUGAUCUAAGUCAAAAUUCAUACUGCUAAACCAUUCAAGUGUUGUAAAUUGAAGAAAGUGGUGUACUUUCUUCAAGUGUUGUAAAUUGAGGAAAGUGGUGUUCUUUCUUCAAGUUUUGUAAACUAAGAUAGUGGUGUGCUAUCUUAGGGUGAUUGUUA
rnacentral:lncRNA from 1 species